GGACGUAGAGGAUAACUAUCCCUUGCAAGUCGAGCGGGCCCUUCGGGGUCAGCGGCAGACGGGUGAGUAACGCGUGGGAACGUACCAUUUGCUACGGAAUAACUCAGGGAAACUUGUGCUAAUACCGUAUGAGCCCCCCUUUAAAAUUUCAGGAAUCAUAAAAUGCCCUGGCAUUUUAUGGGGGGGAAAGAUUUAUCGGCAAAUGAUCGGCCCGCGUUGGAUUAGCUAGUUGGUGGGGUAAAGGCCUACCAAGGCGACAAUCCAUAGCUGGUCUGAGAGGAUGAUCAGCCACACUGGGACUGAGACACGGCCCAGACUCCUACGGGAGGCAGCAGUGGGGAAUAUUGGACAAUGGGCGCAAGCCUGAUCCAGCCAUGCCGCGUGAGUGAUGAAGGCCCUAGGGUUGUAAAGCUCUUUCACCGGUGAAGAUAAUGACGGUAACCGGAGAAGAAGCCCCGGCUAACUUCGUGCCAGCAGCCGCGGUAAUACGAAGGGGGCUAGCGUUGUUCGGAUUUACUGGGCGUAAAGCGCACGUAGGCGGGCUAAUAAUUCAGGGGUGAAAUCCCGGGGCUCAACCCCGGAACUGCCUUUGAUACUGUUAGUCUUGAGUAUGGUAGAGGUGAGUGGAAUUCCGAGUGUACAGGUGAAAUUCGUAGAUAUUCGGAGGAACACCAGUGGCGAAGGCGGCUCACUGGACCAUUACUGACGCUGAGGUGCGAAAGCGCGGGGAGCAAACAGGAUUAGAUACCCCUGGUAGUCCACGCCGUAAACGAUGAAUGUUAGCCGUUGGGGAGUUUACUCUUCGGGGGCGCAUCUAACGCAUUAAACAUUCCGCCUGGGGGAGUACGGGUCGCAAGAUUUUAUACUCUAAUGAAUUGAGGGGGGCCCGCACAAACCGUGGGAGCAUGUGGCUUAAUUCGAAGCAACGCGCAGAACCUUACAGUCCUGGACGUCCCGAUCCGGUUAGGAAGACACUAUUCCUUCCCUUCGGCUGAACGGAGAAAGGGCUGCUGG
rnacentral:rRNA from 1 species